GGUUGAACUAAAUGACCGACUGAAUCCAGCAGUGUUACUGAACAUCUACAAUGUGCCAGGCAUUGUCAGAGGGAGACAGAGGGCUAGAAAUGGAAAGCGGUGAAGGUUGGACGGCUCAUCCUGUCUCACCAGCUCACAGACUGAUGCAAUAUCAGAGCUGGAAGAUUCCUUGGUCAUUAUCUCAAUACCCUCUACCCCAUUUCAUGGAUGAGAAAAUUGAAGAUCAAAGAGGGGACUCAGUUCAAGGGGUCAGUGAGAGGCUGUAGUUUGAGUGGUGCUGGUGCGGAUGCUGGUGCUGGUGCUGGUGGUGAUGCCUUCCUGAAGCUGCAGUGAGGAACGGCGUGCCCCCAUUCUCCUCAAUGCCAAAAGCCUCAUCUCCUGCUACAUCCUUCUACUUCACACCCUAACUCCUUCCCAUCCUGAUGCCUCUCACUUCUUGGUGCCUCCUGGAGUCCUUCCUCAUCUGUCAACC